UCAUUACAGGUAGUUGUGAGCCACCAUGUGGUUGUUGGGGUUUGAACUCAGGACCUUUGGAAGAUCAGUCAGUGCUCUUACCUGCUGAGCCAUCUCACCCGCCCGACACAUACAACUUCUUAAAAUGAACUUGCUCCCCUUUCUCAGCUUUACUGGAAUCCUCAGAUCUGGAAGGCUGCUUGUAUUUCUAUUGAGUGAGAAUUAAAGG